UUAUUUAUUUCACUCUGUUACGAAAGAUAAAAUCCACCUUCACCUGAUGUAACCUCACAUUAAGCAGCGUAGGAGGUGGAUAGCCCGGGGGAGACGGAGAGUGGAAGAUCGCUGUACGCAUAUGGAUCUACAGGAGAACAUCUGUUGUCUUCAUUAUAGCUGUGAUGUGACUGCCAGUGUCCAGUCAGCAAACAUCUAACUCACACAAAGACAAAAAGGCUACACCUUUCUCUGUCCUCCUCAGCACCCAACAGACAGCCUGGCAGGCGAGCUGGCAGCCAAGCAGAAUGGCAGUAGACUGGCAGGCUUAGCCCGGGGCAGCAUCUCCUGCAGAGCCAACUCUGACCAGCUGGUCCAGACUAACACCACAGAGUGGGCAUGUACCACCGUAUCAGUGGGGAGGUAGAUGUUAGCUGUGGUCCAGACACCCUCACACCUAGAGCCUGACACCUACAGCAGUAAACCUGUAUCAGUGGGAUUUAGGUGUGUGGAAGCUCCAGCCUCAGCUCUCUUUUCCUCGCGACUCGUCUCACACUUGCACUCCUCCACCACCAUCACUCGUCUCUCCCUGACCUCGGCUCCACAGCGCAGGGGCACGACCACAGUGUGAGCUUUGGAUGGGGCGCAGCGG